CCUACGGGAUGCAGCAGUGGGGAAUAUUGGACAAUGGGCGAAAGCCUGAUCCAGCCAUGCCGCGUGUGUGAAGAAGGCCUUCGGGUUGUAAAGCACUUUCAGUGGGGAAGAAAGCCUUGGGGCUAAUACCCUCGAGGAAGGACAUCACCCACAGAAGAAGCACCGGCUAAAUCCGUGCCAGCAGCCGCGGUAAUACGGAGGGUGCGAGCGUUAAUCGGAAUUACUGGGCGUAAAGCGCGCGUAGGCGGUCUGAUAAGCCGGUUGUGAAAGCCCCGGGCUCAACCUGGGAACGGCAUCCGGAACUGUCAGGCUAGAGUGCAGGAGAGGAAGGUAGAAUUCCCGGUGUAGCGGUGAAAUGCGUAGAGAUCGGGAGGAAUACCAGUGGCGAAGGCGGCCUUCUGGACUGACACCGACGCUGAGGUGCGAAAGCGUGGGUAGCAAACAGGAUUAGAUACCCCAGUAGUC
rnacentral:rRNA from 1 species